CCCCAGCUGGUCCUCGUGAAGCAGUGUAAUGAGAGCAGCUGGGAAAGCAGUUGACUGUGGAGCAGGGACUUGAGUGAGUGGAAGAGAGCAGUCUCUUUGCUGACCUGCUGGAAAUGCCAGGAACAUUCCUGCAGCCCAAGGAGCUCUAAUGUGGACAAAGGGGGUUGUGAUCGUGUCUGAGUUAAAAAUGCAGGAACUGAAGCUUUGCUGAGUCAGUUUGACCAGCAAUGUAGCUGUGGAAUGGGUUCGCCCACAAGUUGAGAAAUGAGACUAAUGGCUCAAGAGCUUGGCAGACACAAGAAGACUUCACAAGCGUCAAGUGAAAUGACUAAGCGAACCACGAAGGAGGAGAAUAAGGGAAAUGUCAGGGUCCCGAAAGGAUUUCAGAACAUAUUCGGCAAUGGAGAAUUCUACCUCAAGUGACCCGUAUUGACUUCACUGCAUCUUUUA